GUGUCAGCCGCCGCGGUAAUACGUAGGAUCCAAGCGUUGUCCGGAUUUACUGGGUGUAAAGGGCGUGUAGGUGGAUUUUUAAGUCGGUGGUGAAAUCCUGCAGCUCAACUGCAGAAUUGCCUCCGAUACUGGAAGUCUUGAGUGCGGCAGAGGGAGACGGAAUUCAUGGUGUAGCGGUGAAAUGUGUAGAUAUCAUGAAGAACACCGGUUGCGAAGGCGGUCUCCUGGUCCGUUACUGACACUGAGGCGCGAAAGCGUGGGGAGCAAACAGGAUUAGAAACCCCUGUAGUCC
rnacentral:rRNA from 1 species